rnacentral:rRNA from 1 species
UACAGAGGUCCCAAGCGUUACUGAGAAUCACUGGGUUUAAAGGGUGCGUAGGUGGUCCGUUAAGUCAGUUGUGAAAUCCCCGGGCUCAACCCGGGAACUGCUUCUGAUACUGGCGGACUUGAGGCCAGUAGGGGUCACUAGAACUGACGGUGGAGCGGUGAAAUGCGUAGAUAUCGUCAGGAAUGCCGGUGGUGAAGACGGGUGACUGGGCUGGUUCUGACGCUGAGACGCGAAAGCGUGGGGAGCGAACAGG